UACGGAGGGGGCUAGCGUUAUUCGGAAUUACUGGGCGUAAAGCGCACGUAGGCGGACGGAGAAGUCAGAGGUGAAAUCCCAGGGCUCAACCUUGGAACUGCCUUUGAAACUUUCUGUCUUGAGGUCGAGAGAGGUGAGUGGAAUUCCGAGUGUAGAGGUGAAAUUCGUAGAUAUUCGGAGGAACACCAGUGGCGAAGGCGGCUCACUGGCUCGAUACUGACGCUGAGGUGCGAAAGCGUGGGGAGCAAACAGG
rnacentral:rRNA from 1 species